rnacentral:rRNA from 1 species
UACGAAGGGGGCUAGCGUUGUUCGGAAUCACUGGGCGUAAAGGGCGCGUAGGCGGCCAUCUAAGUCGGGGGUGAAAGCCUGUGGCUCAACCACAGAAUUGCCUUCGAUACUGUAUGGCUCGAGACCGGAAGAGGUAAGUGGAACUGCGAGUGUAGAGGUGAAAUUCGUAGAUAUUCGCAAGAACACCAGUGGCGAAGGCGGCUUACUGGUCCGGUUCUGACGCUGAGGCGCGAAAGCGUGGGGAGCAAACAGG